UUUGGUCCGGCAGGGGUCGACGAUUUCGCGGCCUAUCAGCUUGUUGGUGAGGUAACGGCUCACCAAGGCAUCGACGGGUAGCUGGUCUGAGAGGACGAUCAGCCACACUGGGACUGAGACACGGCCCAGACUCCUACGGGAGGCAGCAGUGGGGAAUAUUGCACAAUGGGCGAAAGCCUGAUGCAGCGACGCCGCGUGGGGGAUGACGGCCUUCGGGUUGUAAACCCCUUUCAGCAGGGAAGAAGCGAAAGUGACGGUACCUGCAGAAGAAGCGCCGGCUAGCUACGUGCCAGCAGCCGCGGUAAUACGUAGGGCGCAAGCGUUGUCCGGAAUUAUUGGGCGUAAAGAGCUCGUAGGCGGUUUGUCGCGUCUGCUGUGAAAACCCGAGGCUCAACCUCGGGCCUGCAGUGGGUACGGGCAGACUAGAGUGCGGUAGGGGAGACUGGAAUUCCUGGUGUAGCGGUGGAAUGCGCAGAUAUCAGGAGGAACACCGAUGGCGAAGGCAGGUCUCUGGGCCGCAACUGACGCUGAGGAGCGAAAGCAUGGGGAGCGAACAGGAUUAGAUACCCUGGUAGUCCAUGCCGUAAACGUCGGGCACUAGGUGUGGGGCUCAUUCCACGAGUUCCGUGCCGUAGCAAACGCAUUAAGUGCCCCGCCUGGGGAGUACGGAAU
rnacentral:rRNA from 1 species